CUCUGUGCCUCUUAACCUUAUUUUCUUAACUCCCCCUCAAUAAAACUUUCAAUGUGAGUCGCGUCUACGGGUCUCUGUUUCCUCAUCCGCCCACUGUCCAUCACCCACCAUGGGACCGGGACCUGCCACAUGCGGUCCCAACCCGUUGCGUUUUAUUCUUAACUCACUCUUCUCAAGGACUUUUGCUGUUCCCUCCAGCACCCCUGCAGUGGAAGUAGCAGGUACACUUACAGGACUUACAGUCAGAAUGAACAGUCACUACACGUGGCAGUAGUCCACUCGCAGGACUGGAGUCAGAGUCCCAGCCCUCAUCCAAUCUCUGGGAUCCUCGGGGGGUAGGGUGGGGGGGACGGGGACGGACAGGUGCUGACAGAUAGAUCAGCAAAGUGACAGGUGGGAGAAGUGGGUAUCUGUUCUGAGGGUGGCAAUCUCUCCCCCAGGGGUAUGCUAGUGACCUUGUCCAUUAGCCUUUUCUUGCUCCCUGCUCAUUGGAUUAGGAGAUCCCUAAAAUAGAGGUCAUUUGUCUCUGAGGUUUUCAGGGCCUUGGGUUCAUGCUCUCAAUGGUGCCUGAACAUUAAUCAUGUGCCAGAUGCCUCACUAAGUGCUUUAGUGUACUUACUUCAUCUUCCUAAUGUCCUGUAGUGGAGCUGUUAGCAUCCUUGGGCUUAUUUUUAAAAAGCCACUUAUCUUUUGCUUGAUUGAUCUUUGUCAUGUCAUUUGAGAUUGUGUGUGUGUGUGUGUGUGUGUGUGUGUGUGUGUGUGUGUGUGUGUGUGUUGGCACUCAGGCAUUUACACUGGCCUGCCCUCGGGAACUUAGCAGGACAUAUACUGCUGGAGCAGGAGCAGUCAAGCCUUGACUCAGUGACUACUGCUACCACUGAGUCGAGCACUCUCCUUAUGUGUAUGCCCUAUAUCCCCUUAGAAGAGGCAAGCCCUUCUCAACCCUCCCUCUCUCUCUUCCUUCCACUCUCAGAGUCUGCACCCCCCCCCCACCCAUCCAAUAACCUGCUCAUGUGAACUCUGUUGCAUGGUGCAGCUUUGUGGUGUCCCUUGGCUCCAACCUGCCAAGGUUACCUUUUGCCAUUAAACUAUUAUAAUGUGUCUUACUCUAUAGUCCAGGUUGGCUUUGAACUCACAACUCUCUUGCCUCAGCUUUCUGUAUGUUGAGAUUACAGGUGUGAAUCAUGCUGGCUUCUUGUUAAGUUUUGAGAUGAAGAGAAUGCUUAGACAACUCAUUUGGGCGACACAGCAACUAAGUGGUUGACUCUAGAACCUUCCCUUUUGCCACUCCCCCACGCCACCAAAGUGGCCUUCCUGUUUUUGCUUAGAAAGUAGGAGGGGAGAGCUAUAUCUGGCUUACUUCAAUCCCUUGUAAAACAACAACCUGAAGCACCCCUAUCUCCUCCAAAGAAGAUGGAUGGGCACACAAGAACCUCCACCCAAACUAGCUUCAAAAUUGGCAAUGCCAGCCACUGAACAAAACCUGCCUUUUACCUCAACUGCUACAAAGACCCUCUUCAGACCGUGGAAAAAAC
rnacentral:lncRNA from 1 species